rnacentral:rRNA from 1 species
CAGCAGCCGCGGUAAUACGUAGGGUGCAAGCGUUAAUCGGAAUUACUGGGCGUAAAGCGUGCGCAGGCGGUUAUAUAAGUCAGAUGUGAAAUCCCCGGGCUCAACCUGGGAACUGCAUUUGAGACUGUAUGGCUAGAGUGUGUCAGAGGGGGGUAGAAUUCCACGUGUAGCAGUGAAAUGCGUAGAUAUGUGGAGGAACAUCAGUGGCGAAGGCGGCCAUCUGGGACAACACUGACGCUGAGGCACGAAAGCGUGGGGAGCAAACAGGAUUAGAUACCCCCGUAGUCCCUGUCUCUUAUAC